UACGGAGGGGGCUAGCGUUGUUCGGAAUUACUGGGCGUAAAGCGCGCGUAGGCGGCUUUGUAAGUUAGAGGUGAAAGCCCGAAGCUCAACUUCGGAAUUGCCUUUAAGACUGCAUCGCUAGAAUCAUGGAGAGGUGAGUGGAAUUCCGAGUGUAGAGGUGAAAUUCGUAGAUAUUCGGAAGAACACCAGUGGCGAAGGCGACUCACUGGAUAUGUAUUGACGCUGAGGUGCGAAAGCGUGGGGAGCAAACAGG
rnacentral:rRNA from 1 species